rnacentral:rRNA from 1 species
CAGUAGCCGCGGUAACACCGAGGUUGCGAGCGUUAAUCGGAUUUACUGGGCGUAAAGCGUGCGUAGGCGGCUUCUUAAGUCGGAUGUGAAAUCCCUGAGCUUAACUUAGGAAUUGCAUUCGAUACUGGGAAGCUAGAGUAUGGGAGAGGAUGGUAGAAUUCCAGGUGUAGCGGUGAAAUGCGUAGAGAUCUGGAGGAAUACCGAUGGCGAAGGCAGCCAUCUGGCCUAAUACUGACGCUGAGGUACGAAAGCAUGGGGAGCAAACAGGAUUAGAUACCCCGGUAGUCCCUGUCUCUUAUAC